GCCGAAGUGAUGGAAUGGCAGACGUGAUGGAUUCAAAAUCCAUUGUUGGCAACAACGUGUGGGUUCAAGUCCCACCUUCGGCACCA
rnacentral:tRNA from 1 species